AAAUUUUUUUGUUAUUAAUAAUUUUUAGCUUUAUUACUAACAUAAAAUUAAAAAGAUGAAUGGGGAACUUAUUAAUUUUGCUGAUAAAGCUCUUAAAACUCAAAUUAGUUGCUCAGCAAUUUCAGCUGAUGGUUGUUGCAUUGAAAACCUAAUCGAUCAGAACCAAAAGAAUUUUCUUAAACCAAGUUAUUUUAUGGCUGAGUAUUAUAUCAAAUGUCCAGUUGAGAUUGUCCUCACAUUUCCUUGCUUGAUAAACAUUUCAGCGAUUGUUGUCUAUCCUAAAGUUAAUAGUCAUCGAACUCGUGGUUUUGUGUUGUUUACUGUAUUUCAAAAACCCAUAUUGAGUACUGUUGAAUUUCCAUGUACAUAUAAUAAUGAUUUAUCAGAUGACCUUUGUCGAAAGAAGAACAAAUAUUUAAUGAACCAAGUUGGUAUAUAUAGAGAAAGUGAAAAGAUAACAGAAAAAAUAGUAUUUAGGAACAAACUACAUUAUAAGCAGUUUUUAGGUGUUACUGAUAAUACCAGAGAAAUGCAAACACAUGGCUCUGUUCAUUCUUGUUCUAAUAUUGUUUUGAAAAUUACAUGGUCUACUAUACCAUCAAUAAAAAAACUUGAAGUAUGGGGUACUUUAGCAAAUAUUAACUCUCGUAGUGUUUCAUCCCUUUUUAUGAAACAAUUUUAUGAACAAUAUCCAAUCAAUAUUGAAUCUAGUGAUGAACAAUAUCCAAACAAUAAUGAAUGUAGUGAUGAGCAAAACCUUACUGAAAAGAAGCAAAAUUUGAAGUCAUAUGGUACUUCAGAAAACAUUCCUGUAGAGUUUAUUGAUCCAAUUACAUGUAGUAUGAUGACCAUUCCUAUGCUUUUACCUUCUGGAAACACAGUUGAUAGUUCAACACUUGAUAAAUUUAUAAUUGAAGAACAAAAAUAUGGACGAUUGCCAUCUGAUCCUUUUACUGGUAUUGUAUUUAAUGGAAAUAGAUAUCCUAUACCAAAUAGUAGUCUUAAGACUCGAAUUGACCAAUAUACUUUGAAAAACAGUGAGCUUAGUAGAGAAUUUGAUAUAUGCAACAUAUUCAAUAAUAAAAAUAACUGUGAAAUUGUAAAUAAGAGUUUCUCUUUAAAUAAUGACAGAAUAAAACUCAAAAGAUUUUGUGAUGAUGCAGAAGUUUCAAAAUUCUCAGUUGAAAAUAAAAAAAAGUCCUUCAAAGUUCUUCACCAUGAAGAAGUUCUACAUGAUAGUCUUCAUUCCAGUUUAAGUGCAGCACUCUCUGUUCUGCCAUCUAGUUUUUAUAAAAAUACUAUUCAAAUAUGUAACGUUUGCGGUGUGAAUGAUCGAACAAGUUUAUUAAAACUUCCGUGUUUUCAUGUUUGCUGUCGAAAGUGCGUUAUCAAAAUGACAUUAAAGUUAUGCAAUCAAUGUAAAAAAGAAUUUAAUUGGCGAGAAGGUUCAAAUCGUUCAUGGUCUAUAAAUUCGUAUGCGCAGGAUGUAACUCCUGUUAUAUAGUCGAAACUACUUGCCAUCUCAAGACUUGGAUAUCUGAACAUUACAAGAGAGAUUUGGCAUCUAACAAAUUUAAGUUCAAACUUAAAGAAAGUAUGUUCAUAGAA
rnacentral:misc_RNA from 1 species